CCUACGGGAGGCAGCAGUGAGGAAUAUUGGUCAAUGGGAGAGAUCCUGAACCAGCCAAGCCGCGUGAGGGAAGACGGCCCUAUGGGUUGUAAACCUCUUUUGUCGGAGAACAAAACCCGGGACGUGUCCCGGACUGCGUGUAUCCGAAGAAAAAGCAUCGGCUAACUCCGUGCCAGCAGCCGCGGUAAUACGGAGGAUGCGAGCGUUAUCCGGAUUUAUUGGGUUUAAAGGGUGCGUAGGCGGUCCGUUAAGUCAGCGGUAAAAUUGCGGGGCUCAACCCCGUCGAGCCGUUGAAACUGGCAGACUUGAGUGGGCGAGAAGCACGCGGAAUGCGCGGUGUAGCGGUGAAAUGCAUAGAUAUCGCGCAGAACACCGAUUGCGAAGGCAGCGUACCGGCGCCAGACUGACGCUGAGGCACGAAAGCGUGGGGAGCGAACAGGAUUAGAUACCCCUGUAGUC
rnacentral:rRNA from 1 species